AGCCCAAGCAGACACACAACCAGGAUCCAAGUAGAAGAGUGCCCUUCUACCUGGCGGCCCACAUGAUGCACAAGGCAAUGCAAUAAUUUCUGAUUAUCUGGAGUCCUGUCAAUCACCUUUUAAAGCCCAAGGAACCGCCCUCCAGGACAUGAACCACUGGCAGAAAAAGCAAACAAAGGCAAAACAAGAGAUAUAUUUCCUGUGGCAUAGACUAUUUUAAGUUUAACUGAAGAAUUGCUUCCAAACUUCUUUAUUAAAAGCACUUUUCACUUUCGAAGACUGCUGCAGAUUUCUUCUGAAGUGUUGGAUACGGGUUACUCUCAAACACCAUACAAUGUCAAGUUUUACAUCUCUGAAAAUAUAGCUGUGGAAGACACAGACCUUGUUUGUACCUAUGCACAGGUACAAAAUGCUGUGCAUAAUUCAUUGAUGAAAAUGUGUUGGCUGUAAAAUAGAUUAUUGACUGUAAGGGAGAAGCCUAAUAAAGGCACGCGGUGGUGGUGGUGGCAGCACCUGUUUCUCUUCCUCACCCUCAGAUGGUGGACAAAAUGAGGAGCUGCCACUUCUGCACGCUACCCCAUUUAUUAAGAGGGGAGUGGGGAGGAAUCACUGCCAACAUCUUUCCUUUUCCUAUCUCCUUCUCAGCAAAUGGUAUCUCCUCCCAGAAGCCCCUGUGUGAUUGAGUUAUGGUAGGAAAGCCUGUUUGUUCAUCAAGGGAGAGGAGGGGAGGCAGCAGCGGCACUGCAAAUCUUUUGCACUCUUACUAGCUACUCCAGCCUGCCUCCCCAUGCACAAAUUGGAACAUUCCCCAGAGGCAGGGAUGUUGUCAUUUGUGGACAGAAAGCAGGUAGAAGGAGGCAGUGGUAGCACAAGAGACUCAUGGCCGCCUCCUGGCACCGCCCCCCUUAGGCUUCAUGGUUGACUGUGAGGCCUCAGGCCACUGCCUAACAUGGAUGUCUUCCUCAGUACAAAAUAUGCGCAGUCAUGUGAAAAAGCUUGCAAGUGUCUAUUUUGCCACUGUUAAACACAUGUAGAAGCUGCAAGAGGCACUGGGGCUGAUCAGACCCAAUCCUGGUGCUGUCUCAACCGGUAGCUCGGGUUUCUUACCUGGGCACAAGCAUGCUCUUCUACCUCAGUCCCUGGUCACGUGGCUGCUUGGGCUGCCUGCAGCCCAAGCAGCUGCAGACCUGGGUGGCUAGAGUGCCCAGUAGUGCGGAAAUCCUUCAAUGCACCGUACUUCUCAUGUGGUGCAUUGUGGGAUUUAUGGAGGCUGGGCUUUGUUUCCCUGGCCUCCAGAUGGCCAUGUGGCUCCUGGCAACAUGGCUCAUGUGGGUGUGGGAGCCACGUGGCCAAAGUAAAGAACAGAAUCAUCUGGGGGGAAGGUAGGUGCAAUCCUGCCUUCCCUCCCCACCCUGCUUAGAGGGUUGUGUGAAAGACCUUUCAGUGUUAACUGGAAGCCUAACCCAUGUUACUGUAUUUACUGUACUUUCUGUCAUGGGACUUCUUUCUCUUUAUUCCUCUGGGGCAAGAUUAGCUCAAGAGCUAAUCUGAGGAAUUGCCCCAGGUUGCCCUAUUUAAAGCAAAUUCUGUUUUGUUUUUAAAUUAAACUAAUGUUAAAAAGCUAUGUCCAAGUUCAGGACAUUUGGUUUCAAAUGAUUUUCUUAAUAAAACCUGUGCAUCUGUAAGAACUACCAUGGUUUCUCUCAGUUUUAAAAAGCUUGUAAUCCAUUUUAAAACUAAAUGUCACUGUAGGACUAGAGGAUGGCCCUGACCUCCCUUCAACCAUCUCAGCCAUAGUAUCCAGUUCUAAUCGGGUUCUGGUUUUUAAUUUUUUUUUUAUUGCCAUGAGGAUUGGCUGUUGCAUACUUGUCUUUAGAGGAGGAGAAUCUCCAGCUGGAAACCUACCACUUCCUGUUUGCAUUGUACUCACCCACGGAAAAACUGCUAUGGACAGAUGCAAGUUUGUUUAUGAGUGAAGGGCCAGGCUACGUUUGGCUAUUUACAUUUUGCAGCCUUCCAGGAUCCCCUCUCCGCCCCCACUCCCUUAAUAUCUUCUGCCACCCCUCUUUCUGUUGCUCAGCUCUCAUUCGGCUGCCAUCUCCC